CAAGUCGAACGAGAUCUCCGGAUAGCUUGCUAACUGGAGUGAAAGUGGCGGACCGGUGCGUAACACGUGAGCAACCUGCCCUGAAGUGGGGGAUAGCCCUCCGAAAGGAGGAUUAAUACCGCAUGUGGUCUUCGGACCAAAGGUGGCUUCGGCUGCCGCUUCAGGAUGGGCUCGCGGCCUAUCAGCUUGAUGGUGAGGUAACGGCUCACCAUGGCAACGACGGGUAGCUGGUCUGAGAGGACGAUCAGCCUCACUGGAACCGAGACACGGUCCAGACACCUACGGGUGGCAGCAGUCGAGAAUCAUUCACAAUGGGGGAAACCCUGAUGGUGCAACGCCGCGUGGAGGAUGACGGCCUUCGGGUUGUAAACUCCUGUCAUCUGGGAGUAAGCUAUGUUCGUUAAUAGCGUGCAUAGUUGAUAGUACCAGAAGAGGAAGGGACGGCUAACUUCGUGCCAGCAGCCGCGGUAAUACGAAGGUCCCAAGCGUUGUUCGGAAUCACUGGGCGUAAAGCGUGCGUAGGCGGCGCGGAAAGUCAGUUGUGAAAUCUCUGGGCUCAACCCGGAAACUGCAGCCGAUACUCCCGCGCUAGAGUAAUGGAGGGGUAGCUGGAAUUCUCGGUGUAGCAGUGAAAUGCGUAGAUAUCGAGAGGAACACUCGUGGCGAGGGCGAGCUACUGGACAUUUACUGACGCUGAGGCACGAAGGCCAGGGUAGCGAAAGGGAUUAGAUACCCCUGUAGU
rnacentral:rRNA from 1 species